UCCUGGAACUCACUCUGUAGACCAGGCUGGCCUCAAACUCAGAAAUCCUCCUGCCUCUGCCUCCCAAGUGCUGGGAUUAAUGGCAUGUGCCACCACUGCCCGGCCAAAGAUAUCUUUUUUUUUUAAUUAAUUUAUUUAUUAUAUGUAAGUACACUGUAGCUGUCUUCAGACACUCCAGAAGAGGGAGUCAGACCUCGUUACAGAUGGUUGUGAGCCACCAUGUGGUUGCUGGGAUUUGAACUCCAGACCUUCAGAAGGGCAGUCGGGUGCUCUUACCCACUGAGCCAUCUCACCAGCCCCCAAAGAUAUCUUUUUUAAAGUUUACAAGUGUUCUGACUAAAUGUAUGUAAGUCACCUGGAACUAGAGUUGCCAAGAUGGGAAGCAAACUUGGUCCUCCUCAAAAGCAGCAAAUGAUCUUUUAAGUUAGGUUGUUUGUUUUGUUUUGUUUUUGAGACAGGGUUUCUCUGUGUAGCCCUGGCUGUCCUGGAAUUCGCUCUGUAGACCAAGCUGGCCUCAAAACUCAAGUGAUCUGCCUGCCUCUGCCUCCCAAGUGUUAGGAUCAAAGGCGUGCACCAUCACAGUCUGGCAUUAAAAAAAAAUUUGCCGAGUAGGAGUAAGAGCCUGUGCCCGGUCUCCAGCACCAAAGAAACAGCCAUGGAUGGCAGGAACUGCUCUGUGCUCUCCAACCUGUUAGUGACUUUAUACUCUCACCUGCCAAGUUCUUAAAUCUUUAAGGGUAUUUCAUAUGUAUGUGUGUUUUGCAUGCAUGAGUGUUCUGUAAGCAACUUCACACCUGAUGUCCUCAAGAGGCCAGGCUUUGAGUCACCGUGUGGUUGCUGGGAAGCAAACCCAGCUCCUCUGAAGGAGCAGUCAGAGCUCUCGCCCCCUGAGCCAUCUCUCCAGAUCUGCCUAGCACAUAUUUUUGAAUAACGUAUCUAGCCUCUGUGUAGAAACCAACCAUAAGAAAUCUCUUGUUCGGCUGAGCUGAUGUGUAGCUCGCUUGGUAGCAUGCUUGCUUAACCAUGCAUGGAGCUCUGUGAAAACAGACAACUCAGGUGGUUCAAGCCAGCACUGGGGAAGUAUAGACAAGAGGAUCAUAAACUCAAGGGCAAUCUCAGCCACAGAGCACGUCUGAGAGCAGCUCGGGCUGUAAGAGAGACCCUGCCUCAAAAAAGGAUGGCUAGUGCGAUGGUUAGAACCACUUAGGUCACAGGCCCCAGUUCUAUCUCUAGACUCAUGAGGUGAUGAAGGAACCACCGAGAAUUGACCACUGACCUCCACGGGCAGGUUGUGGUACACACUCUCCCCCCAAAUAAAUUAAUUAAUUAAUUUUCUAAAAGAAAUAUUUGUUUAAUCAAUCUUUAUCAUCAAACAUUUAGGUUGUUUUCCAGUUCAGAAAAAAAAAAUGUUUUGAAGAGAUGGAAAAGAAUAGUCUCAGGACAGAAUUCAGAACAAUGGAGGAAAAGCCCUGUCGCCGUCUCCUCCUUCCUCUGACCUUGGUCUCCGCUCAGGCCUUCCAAUCCCACCUAGGGCCAGACCCACAACCAGCUGGCCUCUAACCCUUGCCUCUUUCACGGCAGAGUUUCUGUUUAGUCUGUCACAGCUAUGGCAUCAUUUUCAGGCACAAAGCCCAAUCUGGUCCACAGCAGCUUCAGCAUCCCGCUCUCCCUGCAUCCCCAUCCACAGGCUUCCCGGGAACUCACCAAGGUCCUCAGUGCUGUGGCGGCACGGACAUGGGCACAACAUUCUCAUACAGGGGCUCCUCUUGCUCCUUCUCUUCCGCCUGCUUCUGGGAAUCCUGUUCCAGGGAACUGCCUCCAGCGUCUGGCUCCUGGACAGUCCCUGAGCUCUCAAUGCCAUCUCCCAGACCUCUGGGUGUUUCCUCUGGUCUAACUGCGGUGGACUCCAUGGCCUGGGAGAGCACAGCACCUGGAGCUGAGCCAGCGCUGGCCUGGUUCCGACCCAGAGAUCGGCGCAGAGGCUUAGGGAUAGCACUCUUUACUUUGGGAUCCAUCUGAUCUUUCUGGUAGUUUCCCAAACGACGAAAGACAGACCAGACAGGACCCUCAGGUUUCUGAGGUGUCCCUGCCAGCAUAUAGAUAGUGGCCACAGAUCCUGAGCUCUCCUGGAUGCCUCCAUCAGUGGUCUCCGCACACUCAGCUACCAUCUGGCUACCAGGUGGAAGUUGGCCGUGACUAGUGGCAGGAUCUCCAGAGCUUGUGGCCGUAGGAGCAUCCUCCUCUGUGUUCACUUGCUCUGGGCCUGUAGACUCCUCCGCCUCCUGCCCUUCAGGACGGGGUUGAGCACCUCUGGAGAGUCUCUUGGGUUUUCGUAUGGGGCUGGAGAGAUCCCCAGAGCUUCGGCCAUUCUGUGGUGCAAACUUCGUGCCUUCAGCAAAGGAGACGGAUGGCCUCUUGGCCCUAGCCAGGCUGGAGGUACGUGGAAUGGGGAAUGGUGUGGAGGCAUCCUCAGGGGGAGGGAAGGAGCCUCCAGGAAGGCUGGCUUCUGGUGACUCUUCUUGGGCCAUAGGGACCAUCUCUGGCAGGGGAGAAAACAGGGGAACUUCAGCCGGGGACACUGCUCUAAUCUUUCCAGAGGCCUCAAGAUGUGGCAGGGAAGAGUGAGGCAGGGGAGAGACUGGUGUAGUAGAUACCUCUCCUUCGCUCUUUUCUCUUUACCCAUCCUUGCUUUGAUCCACUGCACACUGCAUUUUAUCCAAAACACCAUUACUACUGCCGAAUUUUCGCUUAGCCAAUUCCUACUGAUUUGGUUAGACACACACAGCUAUUACUAACAGGCACAUUCCUUAAGCCCAGUUACCCCAGGCAUGGGUAGCUUCAGAGUCCCUCCUUUUUGUUUGUAUGCCCCACUAAAGCAUGACAGUUGUGGCUGUCCUCUGAGCCUAGCAACUACCAUGUUGGAGUGUUCACCUGUGCACUUGGAAAAAGAUGAUCCCAGCUGGGUUUGCUGACUGUUUCCACCCCCUCAUGGAGAGAUGGGUUAAGAGGCAUUUACCUGAGCCCCCAGCCCUCCUGAUGACCUGUUGUAUGCAACUCUACCUUAAUUGCAUGAGGCCUAUGGGGAGGGGCCAGAAUAUAUAAGCUGCAGAAUAUAUAGGAGAGGAAGGCUUCAUCAUGUGGCUGGGUAAGCCCACAUCCCUAUGGGUGAAGGCCUUCUAGAUAUGGCCUAUUGCUGGGAGGAGCGCCCGUACCCUGUAAAUAGCCCUUUACCUAUGUUCUAUAUGAAAACAUAAUAAAUUUAUUGGUUCCC
rnacentral:lncRNA from 1 species